GUAAUAUCAGAAUUUAAUUUCAACGUCUUCAAAUACAAUGAAAGAGUCGACUUUAUGAGAAUGUCCUGGGAAUACUGAACCCAUUUUUUUUUCAUGUUUGCCCCCCUCCACCACCCCUUUCCCUUUUUCUCUUCCAAGAUCAGGGCUUACUAAGAAAUCUGUUUCUGAAAAUAAAGUUUCUUUUUUUUUUUUCUUUUUUUCUUUUUCUUUUUGGCGAGGAGGGGGAGGAGGUGGCCUACAUUCAGAAAUGUCUUAGAUUAGGCAUAAAAAAACUAAUAAAUAAUCAUAAUCCAAAAUAACAUUAAAAUAAAAUUACAGUACAUAAAUUGUUCCUACAAAGGUCCAUUACGUUAGGUGAUCCUUCCAAAGGUCCAUAAAUAAAGUCAUCUCGACGCAAAAUCUGCUUCCUGCAACUGUGAUGAACAUUAUGCAGAAAACUACGAGGGAACUGCAAGCGCGCGUUAUCCGUCGGGUGAAGUCCAAACUACUUGAUCAGGCGCGGGGUGGGGAGACUCUGUUGGUUUUGAUCCAAGUGAACUGAAUAGCAAUGCACUCUUCCCACUUUCCGAAGUCCUCAAAACCUGGAAAGAAAGGACACGGAAUGAAAUGAGUGACUCAGGAGUCAAGACCCUGUUCCCUCCCGGCCAGUACAAAGGACCGAGUGCCCAGAAGGACACCAAGGUCUUUACGUUGGUGCGGAGGCACACAAUAAAGCAGCCCAAAGGAGGAUGGCACUGAACAAGAGUGAUCACCACGGUGGUGGGUAGGUGGUCCCCGUGCCCUGCUCCCUGGCGGAAUUCCUCCGGCUCUUCUCUCCCCGCCCUGCCUCUACAAGCUCCGGCUUGCCCAUCUUCUUUCCACCUCUCCAGAAACUUGAAACGAUUUUUUUUUUUAAACUUUGCUUCGGGAGCGAAAUCGGUCAACAAGCUUCCUACUCUUCCCAACAGCCAUGCUGGCACGUUUCUAGGUGUCCCAGGUUGCCAGGACCUUACCUUGAGUGGCCCGGGUGCCGCCCUCUUCAGGCAGAGUUGGAGGUGCUGCGGAGAAGCCGGUGACCCUGCGGCUGCGAGUGAAGAGGCUGGUGCGCGUGCUGGAGUUGGUACGGGUGAGGGUGAGGGUGAGGGUGCGGGUGCGGGUGUUGGGGCUGGGGUUGGGGUUGAGGCUGGAUCUGCGGCUGGGGCUGGGGUUGGAUCUGCGGCUGGGGCUGGGGUUGGAUCUGCUGCGUCUGCGGAGGCUGCUGCUGGACCAGGUGCUGCUGCUUCUGCCUGGUAGACUUGACCGCCAGUAUGGCCUGGCGAUUUUUGUACUGCACCAUCUGCAACGUGAUCUCGGCGUUCCAGCCCUGGUCCUGGGGGCACCGAAAGUCGAUCUCUUUGCCCUCCGUCAUCACCACAGUGAAGUACAUGUACUUGCCCUUGCGCUCCACGCAGUCUACAGUCUUCAUAUUGGAAAAGUGCAAUUCCUUCAGCUUGACUGGUGGCUCAAGGCUGGCGACGGUGGGGCCACUAGGUUGGGACGGUUCGGCCGUCCCCUGCCCGGGCUGUUGCUGCUGCUGCUGCUGUUGUAGCUGCUUGGGCGGUAUGAGCAGUAGCCCUUCCUCGGUGAGGAUGCAGCACUUUUUCUUCCAGAGCUGCAGCAGCCCGUCGCUUCGCUUUUCCAGCACUCCUUCCUUCAGCGCCUUGCAGCCGCUGUUCUCCAGCAUCCUUCCGGCAUAAGGGGUGCUGCUGCUCCGCUCGGCCUUCAGGCUUCCAGACGCUCCGGCUGGGGGUAGCAGUAGCAGCCCUGCGCCGUCCUCGCCCCAGCGGCUUCCGCGGCCGCCCGCCCGGAGCGCGCAGAGAAGGCUGACUCGCAGGAGACAGAGCGGUGGCGGCGGCGGCGGUGGCUCGGGGUCCCGGCAGAGGGACAGGCGCGUCCUGACUCGCCACAAGAUCCCGGAGCCGUGAGCGGGCUGCUCUCUGCCGUCCUCCGGCGAGCGCUCACUGAAGGGCACUGGCCGGGGCCCCUCGCGGCGCUUUUCAAUGGGCCACCCUCCCCACCCCCGAGUGACACCCAG
rnacentral:lncRNA from 1 species